rnacentral:rRNA from 1 species
AGAACGAACGCUGGCGGCAGGCCUCAAACAUGCAAGUCUAGGGGGUGUAGCAAUACAUCACCGGCGGACGGGUGCGUAACACGUGGGAAUAUACCUUUCGGUACGGAACAACUGCGGGAAACUGCAGCUAAUACCGUAUACGUCCUAGCGGAGAAAGAUUUAUCGCCGAAGGAUUAGCCCGCGUUCGAUUAGCUAGUUGGUGGGGUAAUGGCCCACCAAGGCGACGAUCGAUAGCUGUUCUGAGAGGAAGAUCAGCCACACUGGGACUGAGACACGGCCCAGACUCCUACGGGAGGCAGCAGUAGGGAAUCUUGCGCAAUGCGCGAAAGCGUGACGCAGCAACGCCGCGUGGGGGAAGAAGGCUUUCGGGUGUAAACCCCUUUCAGUUGGACGAAGCUCCGUGGGUUAAUAGCUCACCGGAGUGACGGUACCUUCACAAGAGCACCGGCUAACUACGUGCCAGCAGCCGC